rnacentral:rRNA from 1 species
UACGUAGGGGGCUAGCGUUGUCCGGAAUCAUUGGGCGUAAAGAGCGUGUAGGCGGUCCGGUAAGUCCGCUGUGAAAGUCGGGGGCUCAACCCUCGAAUGCCGGUGGAUACUGUCGGGCUAGAGUGCGGAAGAGGCGAGUGGAAUUCCUGGUGUAGCGGGUGAAAUGCGCAGAUAUCAGGAGGAACACCUAUUGCGAAGGCAGCUCGCUGGGACGUUACUGACGCUGAGGAGCGAAAGCCAGGGGAGCAAACGGG